UACGGAGGGUGCAAGCGUUGUUCGGAAUCACUGGGCGUAAAGCGCGUGUAGGCGGCCUUCUCAGUCUGGUGUGAAAGCCCGGGGCUCACCCCCGGAAGUGCAUUGGAUACUGGAAGGCUGGAGUACCGGAGAGGAGGGUGGAAUUCCUGGUGUAGCGGUGAAAUGCGUAGAUAUCAGGAGGAAUACCGAUGGCGAAGGCAGGUCUCUGGGCUAUAACUGACGCUCAUGCACGAAAGCGUGGGGAGCAAACAGG
rnacentral:rRNA from 1 species